rnacentral:rRNA from 1 species
UGGGGAAUAUUGGACAAUGGGCGAAAGCCUGAUCCAGCCAUGCCGCGUGUGUGAAGAAGGCCUUUUGGUUGUAAAGCACUUUAAGUGGGGAGGAAAAGCUUAUGGUUAAUACCCAUAAGCCCUGACGUUACCCACAGAAUAAGCACCGGCUAACUCUGUGCCAGCAGCCGCGGUAAUACAGAGGGGGGAAGCGUUAAUCGGAAUUACUGGGCGUAAAGCGCGCGUAGGUGGUUAUUUAAGUCAGAUGUGAAAGCCCCGGGCUUAACCUGGGAACUGCAUCUGAUACUGGAUAACUAGAGUAGGUGAGAGGGGAGUAGAAUUCCAGGUGUAGCGGUGAAAUGCGUAGAGAUCUGGAGGAAUACCGAUGGCGAAGGCAGCUCCCUGGCAUCAUACUGACAUUGAGGUGCGAAAGCGUGGGUAGCAAACAGGAUUAGAUACCCUGGUAGUCCACGCCGUAAACGAUGUCUACCAGUCGUUGGGUCCUUUAAAGACUUAUGACGCAGUUAACGCAAUAAGUAACCGCCUGGGGAGUACGGCCGCAAGGUUA